AUCAACUUUCGAUGGUAGGAUAGAGGCCUACCAUGGUGGUAACGGGUAACGGGGUGUUAGGGCACGACACCGGAGAGGGAGCCUGAGAAACGGCUACCACAUCCAAGGAUGGCAGCAGGCGCGCAAAUUACCCAAUCCCGACACGGGGAGGUAGUGACAAUAAAUAACAAUACGGGGUUCUUUCGGAUUUCGUAAUUGGAAUGAGUACAAUUUAAAUCUCUUAACGAGGAACAAUUGGAGGGCAAGUCUGGUGCCAGCAGCCGCGGUAAUUCCAGCUCCAAUAGCGUAUAUUAAAGUUGUUGCAGUUAAAAAGCUCGUAGUUGAAUUUCGGGGUCAGUAAGCUGGUCGUGCCUAUGGUAUGUACUGGCUUUACUGAUUCCUCCUUCUUGAAGAACUGUAAUGUCAUUAAUUUGGUGUUGCGGGGAAACAGGACUGUUACUUUGAAAAAAUUAGAGUGUUUAAAGCAGGCUAACGCUUGAAUACAUUAGCAUGGAAUAAUGGAAUAGGACGUUCGAUUCUAUUUUGUUGGUUUCUAGGAUUGACGUAAUGAUUAAUAGGGAUAGUUGGGGGCAUUAGUAUUCAAUUGUCAGAGGUGAAAUUCUUGGAUUUAUUGAAGACUGACUACUGCGAAAGCAUUUGCCAAGGAUGUUUUCAUUAAUCAAGAACGAAAGUUAGGGGAUCGAAGACGAUCAGAUACCGUCGUAGUCUUAACCAUAAACUAUGCCGACUAGGGAUCGGAUGAUGUUAUUUUUUAAUGACUCAUUCGGCGCCUUACGGGAAACCAAAGUGUUUGGGUUC
rnacentral:rRNA from 1 species